AUACUUACCUGGCAGGGGGGACACCAUAAUCAAGCAGGUAGUUUUCCUAAGGCGAGUCUUAACCAUUGCACAAUUCCGGUUUCGAUGACCUUUAUGAAUUCCCCAAAUGUGGGAAUCUCAACUGCAAAAUUUAUGGUAGUGGGGGACUGCGUACGCGCUCUCCCCUG